rnacentral:rRNA from 1 species
UUACAUCAAGAGUAAAUUUAGCGGCGAACGAGUUAGUAAUACCUUGGAACGUACCCGAAAGUCGGAGAUAACUAGCCGAAAGGUUAGCUAAUACCCGAUAGUCUCGCAAGAGUAAAGAUGCAAAUCACUUUCGGAGCGGCCUAGGUCCUAUCAGCUAGUUGGUGUGGUAAUGGCUCACCAAGGCUAUGACGGGUAGGGGGCGUGAGAGCGUGGCCCCCAACGAGGGAACUGAGACACGGUCCUUACACCUACGGGUGGCUGCAGUCGAGAAUAUUCGACAAUGGGCGAAAGCCUGAUCGAGCGACGCCGCGUGCAGGAAGAAGCCCUUUGGGGCGUAAACUGCUUUUGCGUGGGAAGAAUUUUGACGGUACCACGAGAAUAAGGGGUUGCUAACCUCGUGCCAGCAGCAGCGGUAAUACGAGGACCCCGAGCGUUAUCCGGAUUUACUGGGCGUAAAGAGUGAAUAGUCGGUUGUGCUAGUCGAAUGUUAAAUCUUAGGGCUUAACCCUGAAACCGCAUUCGAAACGGCACGACUAGAGUUGGUAAGAGGCAAGCGGAACGUGAAGUGUAGGGGUGAAAUCCAUUGAUAUUUCACGGAACACCAAAAGCGAAGGCAGCUUGCUGGUGCCAUACUAA